GUGCCAGCAGCCGCGGUAAUACGUAGGUCCCGAGCGUUGUCCGGAUUUAUUGGGCGUAAAGCGAGCGCAGGCGGUUAGAUAAGUCUGAAGUUAAAGGCUGUGGCUUAACCAUAGUACGCUUUGGAAACUGUUUAACUUGAGUGCAAGAGGGGAGAGUGGAAUUCCAUGUGUAGCGGUGAAAUGCGUCAGAUAUAUGGAGGAACACCGGUGGCGAAAGCGCCUCUCUGGCUUGUAACUGACGCUGAGGCUCGAAAGCGUGGGGAGCAAACAGGAUUAGAUA
rnacentral:rRNA from 1 species